ACUGAGUGGCGGACGGGUGAGUAACGCGUGGGUAACCUGCCUUGUACAGGGGGAUAACAGUUGGAAACGGCUGCUAAUACCGCAUAAGCGCACAGCAUCACAUGUUGCAGUGUGAAAAACUCCGGUGGUAUAAGAUGGACUCGCGUCUGAUUAGCUAGUUGGCGGGGUAACGGCCUACCAAGGCGACGAUCAGUAGCCGACCUGAGAGGAUGUCCGGCCACAUUGGGACUGAGACACGGCCCAGACUCCUACGGGAGGCAGCAGUGGGGAAUAUUGCACAAUGGAGGAAACCCUGAUGCAGCGACGCCGCGUGAGCGAAGAAGUAUUUCGGUAUGUAAAGCUCUAUCAGCAGGGAAGAUAAUGACGGUACCUGACUAAGAAGCACCGGCUAAAUACGUGCCAGCAGCCGCGGUAAUACGUAUGGUGCAAGCGUUAUCCGGAUUUACUGGGUGUAAAGGGAGCGCAGGCGGCGAGGCAAGUCUGAUGUGAAAACCCGGGGCUCAACCCCGGGACUGCAUUGGAAACUGUCAUGCUAGAGUGCCGGAGGGGUAAGCGGAAUUCCUAGUGUAGCGGUGAAAUGCGUAGAUAUUAGGAGGAACACCAGUGGCGAAGGCGGCUCACUGGACGGUAACUGACGCUGAGGCUCGAAAGCGUGGGGAGCAAACAGGAUUAGAUACCCUGGUAGUCCACGCGGUAAACGAUGAAUACUAGAUGUCGGGCGCCAUAGCUCUCGGUGUCCUCGCAAACGCAAUAAGUAUUUCCCCCGGGGAGUACGCUGGCAAGGAUGGAACUUAAAGGAAUUGACGGGGACCCGCGCAAACGGUCGAGCUUUUGGUUUAAUUUGGAGCUACGCGAAGAACCAUACCUGUUCUCUCCAUCCCAUUCGAUAGAUCGGAAUUUCUCCCGCCCUUCGGGGGUACGGAGACCGGCGGUCCAUGGGUGUUGUCACCUUGUGUCGGUAGCAAUUUGGCUAAUUCCCCUAACGGGUCGAACCCGUAUUGUCACUAGGCAGCAGGUGAAGCUGGGCACUCUGAUGAGACUGCCGGGGAUAACCUGGAGGAAGGUGGGGAUGACGUCAAAUCAUCAUGCCCCUUAUGAGCAUGGGCUACACACGCGCUACAAUGGCGUAAACAUAGGGAAGCGCAGGAGUGAUCACGAGCAAAUCUCAAAAAUAUGUCUCAGUUAGGAUCGUAGUAUGCAACUCGGCUACAUGAAGCAGGAAUCGCUAGUAAUCGCAGAUCAGAAUGAAGCGGUGAACAAGUUCCCGGCUCUUGUAAACACCGCCCGUCA
rnacentral:rRNA from 1 species